CUUUGCCUUUGGGGACCUGCCCAGAAAGCUGCACAGCAGACAUGCUUCCUGUUGCAGAGACCCAGCCUCCUGUUUGUGGUUGAGAGUGGUCACGUGAUUCUCUCUAGCCAAUGGGUUAUGAGACCAGCUCACCUGGGUCAAUGCCAGGCUGAGGUGUUUAAUAGUUGGGACCCCAGAUCUACUCAGCCAGCAGGAGGCUAACCUUAACACCUGGGACUCUCCAGUGCCCAGAGCCAGGGCCUCAAGAAUUUUACCCACGAAAGUCUUAUCUGGGAUCUACAUGUAAUCCAGCCUGACAGGACGGUACCAGGUCCCAGCAUCUCCCCAUGAACUGAUCCCACCUGCGGGUGGCCAGGGACAGACCUUGCAGGUCAGGCAGGAGUGGGUCUACUGUUUCUGCUUCCCAGGCAGACGUGUGUGGAGCAAGACUGUUUAUAGACAACGCCUUGCUGUAGCCAGAGGUGGUGGCUUAGCAGCAGCAGGAACGCCCUCCCUCAUUGCUUCACAAGCUCUCAGUUUCAGCGAACAAUGCGCUGGGGUCGACUGCACAGCUCAGCUUUGGUGAACACUGUUCUGGGAUUGACUGCACAGCUCGACUCCUGUGAACAGUGCUCUGGGGUCAAUUGCACAGUUCAGCUUUGGUAAAGCCUGCUUUGGGAUCGACUGCACAGCUCAGUUUCGGCAAACAAUGCUCUGGGGUCAACUGCACAGCUCAGCGUUGGUGAACAGUGCCCUGGGGUUGACUGCACAGCUCAGCUUUGGUGAACAGUGCUCCUGUGGACCCUAAAUAUCCUGAUUCUUAUCAAGGAUGUGUAGCCGUGUGACUUGGACAGGGCUCCAUACCUCAACUCUCGCUCUCUCUCUGCUCCUUUCAAAUAAACAGCGUGGAAUGCUGGGCUCAGGAUGAUAG
rnacentral:lncRNA from 1 species